UUUUCGGAACUCCAUAAACGAUACGGAAAUUGUCGAAUCUCUUUAAUCCCCUUCCUCCUUUCACUGACAAAUUAAUAAGAGAUGAACAUAGCUUGGGUUAGACAAGAUGGAAAUGGCCUUCAGUUAUCUUAAAUUCAAUAAAUAGGAAUAGAAAUCUCGGAGAUCACUACUUCAAUCUUGACGGAAUUUUUUAAAUCAUCUUUUCUCUUCUCUCUCUAACCUUAAUUCUUUCAUCUACUAAAACAUAACUUGUUUAAGUUCAACAUUCAGAUAUUAAAAACUAUGCUUUCAAUGUUUUCAACAUAAAUGCUUUUUGAUGCACUAUCCCCUGCUAAGAGUUUUUUAUGACCAUUUUAUUUAAUACCCCCACCCCCUCUCGUUGUUCUAUCAUACGCUCUAUUCUAGCGCUCUCUCUGCCUACAUUUGCAUAUCAAAAGUUAACUGACUAUCACCUCAAACAUUAAAUGCUAUUUGGCCGUUGUUGGCUGCCCGCAAUAAAAUUGUUUAUUUUGACAGAAGAUCAAAGGAUAGGAAAUUGCAUAUUUAUACUCAUAUCACUCUUUUCAAUACCCAAAACUGCAUGUGUGCACUCACACACGGAUUAGUGUGUGUCUUUUCGGUGCAACUAUUUAGAAUGUAGAAUUUAUUUAUUUUAUCUUUUAUUAUUUUUCAAUUUUUACAUUUCAAUUGGUCUCGAAAAAUUUACACUAAGCCAUCAAGUAUUUUCGAAAUGGUGAGCAAUUUUUCGUUAUUUACCUGAAACUAUUUCUAUUUUGGUUUGCAUGUAUUUGUGUGGCCGAUGUUGAAAUGCUCUUGUCUGUGCACGCCAGUGUGUAUGCUCGUUUCGUUACUCUGUUUGCAACAAUUGAUUGAAUUUCACAAAAAUUGAAGACACACUGCUGCAGGGAUGCAUCCACUGUUAGGUGUGUGCCCAAAAAUAUUGAAAAUUUUAGUUGAAUUGUUUUUCAAUUUACAAAUAACUCCAGGUAGUGACUAAAAUGUUUGACUCGAAAAGAGAAAUCCAUUUAACUUGUUAUUCAGUGGUUUUGUUAUUUAUUUUUCAUAUCUCAAAAUCGUAAUGACAGUGAUCUUGUGUUUGGUUUUAAUGAAUAGGAAAAUAUUUUUAUUAUAUUUUAAUCAAACUUGCGUUGUUUUGGAUGGACUUAAUUUCACUCAAAAUUUUUGAAUUUCACAAAUGUCUUUGAUGUAAAAUCCAUUAAAACCAUUUUUUAUUUGUACAUUAACAGCUUUUCAAUAAGAACCCUAGAAAACCAUUGAAAUAUCAAUGAAAUUCUUUAUCCCUUGGAAAGCACAAUCGAUGCCAUUAUGUAUGGCAUUCGAUUUCUUUUGUAUGGCCACCACGGGCACGCUUGCAGAAGUCCAGAUGCUGAACCCAAUUUUCGACGGCUUUCAAUCAUAAGUGAAGUCUAGUCGAAUUUGCCAGCAAAGCAAAGCGCUCAUAUAUGUAUAAGUAUUUUAGGUAUUUACUGAGGUGCUUGUAGGACGCUAGUUGUCAAAAUUGUAUGGAGUAGGGUGAAAUGGAAAUAUCCAGACACUUUCUUCUUCAUUGUCCAGCCUUUGCAAGACUGAAGCAGAAACAUUUCGGCUGAUAUACCUUCCGCAAACCAGAAGGCUUAGCUGUAACAGACAGCCGUCUCAACAAAUAUAUGAUAGGCUCAAAACUCUUAGUUGAACCGUAAGGGACUUAUUAUCUAUUAUAUAGAGUCUUAGAUACCACAACGGAUCGGCGUUCUAAGCUGUUCAAGUGUUAUACCAGUUAUGAGCGAACUCUUAACAGAACCUAACGCUGGUGCUUUUCCAAUAUAACGUAAGUUGUCGGUCUAUGUCCAAAGGCGUAUUAAGUCGGUAUUGCCGCUCUCUUCGUUUCCUUGACAUGUUGAGUAAUAGACUGCUUUAUGAUUUUCUUUAAAGCUCUUAAAGCACUGCGUCGGAAUUUUGACUCCAUCUCAUUUACAUAUUUUAUUCGACAAGCUGAGACAAAGUAUUUGCGUUUGAGAAAUCUACCAUGCAUUUCAAUUGAGAAAGCAUUGCUGAAUGCCUUCAUUUCGGCAGUUGCGAAAUAAUAUAAUUGACCAAAUCAACUUUGAUUAAAUUUAUUAUUACUUUUCUUAUUCUAUAAAAUUCCACUCAAAACAAAUAUUUUGUUUACGAUGCAAGCGGUGACAGAUAUAUUUAUUAUUAAAUUUUUUGCUAGAUAUUCAUCAUCAACAAAAUUGCUUUCUUUUUGUUUAAAUAAUAUUUUAAAUAACUUAGAUGUUGCAUGAAUACAAGCAUGCUGACCAGAUUUUUUUACCAUACCCUGUAGGGAGUUCGAUAGACUCGAUUGUUUAGAUAUGGUAUACAAUUUUAAAUGGAUGUAUAUUUAGAUGGUACAUUCAGCUAUAAAAGAGGAUCCAUUCAUUUUUAUUCAAGAUAAGUUAAUAUAAAUAAAAGCUACUUUUGAGACUUUCAAUUUUGGAGUGUGGCGAUUCGAACAAACAGCUGGUAUAAAUAGCAUGAGCUGGCCUAAUUAAAUUGAGAUGUUAUAGCAAGCAAUUAGCUACUUUAGCAGUGUACUCAGCAUACUUUUUCAAAACAUAUAACUGUUGUUGCUUUCAAAAAACAAUUUUAGCUUGCUAAAAAGAGCGCAAAGCUGAAACACAGCUAGCAGUUUAAACAAGCUUUUAUCAAGUAAGAUUAGUAUGAAUGAUAUAUUUCAAAAGGUCUUACAGUCCGCAACAGAAACGUUCAUGGAACUUUAUGUGUAGCCACUCAUGGCUGAAGUAUGCUCGAAGAGAUAAAUUUAUUGGAUUGAGAGCCCACAAACAAAUCAGUUUUUCUAUAAAUUUUGGAUUUUAUCUCUACCGAGUAUUAAGUAUUUUCAUAAAUAGCGAGUCAACGUUUAUGUAUUAUGGAAGAAAUGUCUUAGAAGUGUUGAGGUAAGUGUUAAAAAAGGUCAGUUGGUGUCCACAAACUGCAUGAAAUGGACAAUUUUUGUGGAUGUGAUUGUGUUUCCCCAACUACACGAGCAUUUACCCACGCCAAUAGUGACAAAUUUGUUUGUAGACGAAGCAUUAGUCAGAAAUCGGUUGCAACUGAAAAGAUGUUCUGUUGACGAAGCCAUUAAUCCAGAAAUCGGUCGCAUCUAAGUAGAUGCUUCUUCGAUGAAGCGAGACAUGAUGAAAUGUCAAACCUUGCAAACAAAUAUGGCCGCCACGAGCUGUCAAAAUCACGUCAUUCUUAUAUAUUAGGCAAAGUUGUAAUUUUUUUUCUUGGAUACCGCGAAAAUAUAAUCCGAAAUUAAUGAAUUUAUUAUUGACAAAUGGCUUACAUAAUGUAUCAUUAACAUAUUAUUAUACAGUUUCAACUAAAUAUUUAAUAUUUAAAUUAUAGUUUUUUUUCUUUGGCACGAAGGACUAAGUAGCCAGUUCCUUUAGCUUGCUAGUCAGACUGUAAAAUUAUUUACGGAUCAUAUUUAAAUAAAAUAAAAAAUUAAGAUAUAAAAAAAAUUAUUGACGCUUACCAUUUCCUACAGGGUCAUGCAGAAUCCCAUUUAGAUUUUUCGUACAUUUAAUUGAAUCGAAUUUCAACAAAUUAUUUAUGCUUGGUAUGUUAAUAGUAAUUCAUUGCAACUGGCAGCAUGACGUGUCUGUCUAUUUACUCGCAAUCACGCACACACUCAUUUAUAUGUAUGUACAUAUGUAUGUAUUUUAAGGUGUAUGACAUCAAUUGUUUGUGCAGCCGACAUCACCUAAUUCCCGCCAAAUCCUAUUUGUAUAUAUAAAUUUGUAUGAACACACACAAUUAAGGUUAUAAAAUAGAAAUUGAGAAUUUACAAAAGCAAAAACAGAAACAGAAACAGAAACAGAAACAAAAAAACUUUAAAAAUAAAUCAAUUUAAUUAUUAUUACGAGGAAUAGUUUAAAAUAUGAAAAUAUGCAGACAAAGAGCAUAAAAUAAAUAAGAAAUUAUUAGCAAUUUCGAAAUGUAUCUUAGUUAAAUAUUUAAUAUUUUUGAGUACUAAGCGAACAAGCAAAUAAAUAUUGUACAUACAAAACUACUAAAUAUAAACGAGCGUACAUGCAUACACAACCUAUGCAACAACAAAAAAAAAAAAAAAACAAAAACAAAAACAAAUAGUACAUAGUGAGUACUGUUAUACAAAUUUAUCGAAAAACACAGUGUAAUGUAUGGGAAAUUAAAAAUUUAUGAAAAA